GUCCGGUGUGUCUGAACCUUAAUAACCAUGGGUAUUUUGAAAAUAUUGCGUUCGAAAGGAAGACAACUGAGCUUGUAGGUGUUUGGAUGGUCAGUAUAUUAUAUAUACUGCAAAAUCAACAUGCAGUCCUCCUACAUAAUUUAUUAGGGAGUUUACGAAUGUAAGACGGCGACUUCAGGACGACGGCUAAACAAACUGUUUGAAAUAAAUGUUGUAUGAAAAUCUUGUCUUGUAUUUACUUUUGUAUGAAUUUAAAAUAGUUUCGAACGAGUAAAACAGAGCUUUAACCCUCCGAGCAAUGUUGAUCAACUCUGCUAGAAAAACUACCUGUCACGGCGUGAAAUGCUAGCGUACUAUACCAGACGUGAAAGUAUGCAUUUUGCCGUUGUCAACAGAGCUUGGACAACGUAUAAAACCCCUUUUAAUCAUUCAUUUCUUUUGUACUAUAGGAUUAAUGUCAUUAUAUUGAUAGCCGUCGUCCUGACGUCGCCGUCUCACAUUCGUAAACUCCCUAUUAU